CCUGGUUGAAGCUGCCAAUAGCAUGUUCUUGUCUCACAGAUUAAGCAAUGAAUGUGUAAGUGCACACGGCCAGUACAGUAAAUGGCUUAUUAAAUCAGUUAUGGUUUCUUUGAUCGCUCCAUCUUUCACUUAAAUAACUGUGGUCAUUUUAGAGCAAAUACAUGCUGAAGUGUGAUGAAGACCAAUACGGAUUCGCCCGGCCUCUUUGGUGACUCUAGAUAACCUUGGGCUGAUCGUACGUCCCCCGGACAGAGACCAUAUAUUCAGAUGACUGCCCUAUCAAAUUUUGAUGGCACUUUCUGUACCAGGUAAUUGGGACUCAAUGUUCGAUUCCAGAGAGGAAGCCUGUGAAAUAGCUACCAAGUCCAACGAAGCAGGAGGUGUGCAAAUUACCCACUCCCGACUCAGGUAGGUAGUGACAAAAAAUAACAAUACAGGACUUUGUCGAGGUACAGUAAUUGGAAUGAGAACACUUUAAAUCCUUUAACAAGGAUUAAUUGGCGAGAAAGUCUGGUGCAGCAGUUGCUGUAUUCCAGCUCCCAGCCCCUGCCUCUCAGCACCCCCUUGUUGAUAGAGUGUAUAGGUUGCUGAAUCGUAUACUUGGGAACAAUGUUGGUGUUGAAAGAAGGCAAUUUGCCUGAAUACUUCAGCUACGAAUAAUGAAAUAGGACUCCUCCUUUUUUAUUGAUUUUUUUGAACUGAGGCCAUGUUUAGGAGGGAUGGCUGAGGCAUUCACAUAAUAGUUCCACUACAGGGAAAAUUCUUGGACUGGUACAAGACGAACCAAAGCCAAAGCAUUUGCAAAAAUUGUUUUCAUUAAUCAAGAAUACAAUUCAGAGGUUCAAAGAGGAUCAGGUACCAUCAUACUAUCAAUCAUAAAAGAUGCCGACUAGCGAUCCGUUGGCUUCAUUCUCAUGAUCCGCUGAGCCACUUCUGGUAAACCAAAUUUUCGUUUUCCAGGAGGGAGUAUGGUACAAAGCUGAAACUUUAAGGAAUUGAUGGAAGGCACCACCAGGAAUGGUUCCUGCAGCUUAAUUUGAUUCAACACAGGAAACCUCGCCUGGACUGUACAUGUAAAGAAUUGACAAAUUGAUAGCUCUUUCUUGAUACUGUAGGUGGUGGUGCCUGGUCGAUCUUAGACGGUGGAGAAAUGUGUUUAUUUAAUUGCGAUAACGACCAAGACGUGCCAUGCUAGCUGGUUACCUGACCCCAGCAGUCAGCUGUCAACUUCUUAGUGAUUCAAGUGAUGCUCAGCCACACAAGAUCAAGCAUUGAGUGGUAUUCGAUUCCCUUAGAUGUACAGACAUGCAUGAGGGCUACAGUGAAUAGAUCAGCAUGUGUCUAACCUUCGCCACUAGGUGUGGGUGCAGGAUGAAUGUGAGUCAUAGUCCAACAUGUGUAGUGGAAUGUCGGCUUCAAACCUUGGCACUAAAAUUAUGACAACUUUUGUCCAUCCAGUACAUUAGCUACUGUGGUAUUUAUU
rnacentral:rRNA from 1 species